GGUGUUGAGCCUGCCCUCAGGUGCCAGGUGUUUUGGGGUAUGGGCCUUGCCAACUGGAGAGAAGGUCAUGCAUGCCAGCCAGGUUGAUGAUAAUAAAGACUCCAGAAAAAUUCAGUUUGUGGGUUGUCAGAAAGAGGUGAAUGUAAACUUUGCCACUGAUUUGAUGACAGAGCAACCUAUGAGUGAAGUAGAGAGUUGGAUAAUAUUGUGUAACUGGUUGGGGAGCUCUUGGCUACCCAAAAGUGUGUGUAAACAUAGACAAAGAAACAAAAACUGGGAUAUGUGGUUAUUGUGGACUAUAGUUGAAAAAACACCA
rnacentral:lncRNA from 1 species